GCCGUUGUCGUAUAGUGGUUAGUACACAUCGUUGUGGCCGAUGAAACCUCAGUUCGAUUCUGGGCAACGGCA
rfam:Nadsonia fulvescens var. elongata DSM 6958 unplaced genomic scaffold NADFTscaffold_2, whole genome shotgun sequence.